GGCUAGGGCUCAGGGGUAGAGCACUUGCCUUGCAUGUGUGAGGCCCUGGGUUCGAACCCCAGUGCCA
rnacentral:tRNA from 1 species